AUACGGAGGGUGCAAGCGUUACUCGGAAUCACUGGGCGUAAAGCGCGCGCAGGCGGCUAUUUAAGUUGGAUGUGAAAGCCUACGGCUCAACCGUAGAACUGCAUCCAAAACUAUUUAGCUAGAGUGUGGGAGAGGAAGAUGGAAUUAGUUGUGUAGGGGUAAAAUCCGUUGAGAUAACUAGGAAUACCAAAAGCGAAGGCAAUCUUCUGGAACACUACUGACGCUGAGGCGCGAAAGCGUGGGGAGCAAACGGGAUUAGAAACCCUUGUAGUCC
rnacentral:rRNA from 1 species